UUUGGCAAGUUGCCCCUUUUCUUAAGUGAGAAAUUAUUUGCAAUAGAGUUAGGGUUUGUGUUGCUGCAGUUUCCUCUCUUUUCACAAUUUCAAAAUUAGGGUUUUUGGCAAAAUAAUAAAUCUCCUCCUUGCUUAUCACUGAUUCCGUUCCUCCGCUACAAAUGUUGUUGCCUCUGACUUCGUUCCUCCGCUUCUGCUCUUUCCGCCUUCUCCGCCGCUGACUCCGUUUAAAUAAUCAUAGGAAGAAUACAUUGUUUUGUCUUCUCCGCCGCUGACUCUGUUCGUCCGCCACUACUGUUGCCGCCACCUCUGUUGCUUAUCAAGUCGCCUCUUUAACUUCCUCUCUUCGUCCUCAUCUCUUUCAUACCUUUAAUUGAUUCAGAAACUUUUUUUAAAUUUUUUCAAACAAUUCAUGUAUAGUUAUGUGUCAUUCCAGUUUUAAAUUUUAAGGUUGGAUUCUUCGUCUCAGAGAAUGAACGAGCAAAAGUUGAAAGGGAAACCUCAAACCCUGUGUUCUGUACCUUGUUAAAGAGAAAAACCAGCUCUGCACUAUGAGAACUCGAGAAAUUGUAGGUUUUAAACCAUGUUUUUCUUUAAUUUUAUAUUAACUGCUUGCUAAAUUUGUUCCAUAGGCAACAACUGUGUUACUUUUUAAUCAUGAAACAGCAAAGUUGAGAGAGAGAGAGCUUGGGGUUUAUUUUCUAAAGGAGGCAAAAUGGAGGCCUGAAAGGGGAAAUUAGGCUAGAUCAAGCCCUAAUAAGUUCCAGAUGUUGGUGGAGGAUAUUAGGGAGGCUGUACUUGCAAGUGAUGUCCUUGCUAUGGAGUUUCUACAGAAGGAUGUCCGCCUUGCUGCUAGUAGAGAGUUAGAACACUGCGAGAAGUUCCAUUGUUUGAAACUUUGAAAGAUAUGCGAAGGACUAGUUCAGUGAUAAAAAAAUUGUUAUCAAUUCAUUGCUAUCAGCUAGAAUCAUCAAGGGGAAAUUCAUUUUUCCCAUUGAGUUCCCAAAUGAAUGUACAUCAUCAAGAUUGUCGUUGUGGUGCAUCAUCAAGAUUGUCGUUGUGGUACAUCAUCAAUGGCUCAUAUGUGUUAGUAGUUAUUCUUUUUAUCUUUGUACGAUGUUCCACUGUACAAGUAUUUUUAUUUAUCUUUGUAUAGUUUAAUUAAUGCUUCCGAUGUCUUUAUGUAUAUAUAAACAAUAAUGUUUAUUAUUAAUAUAUUUUACAAAUUGAUGGGUA